rnacentral:lncRNA from 1 species
UCUUCAAAUGGAGUGUAAAGAUGGGACUGCUUUGGAAGAGAUGGUACAGCAACCACUUCCAUGUCAGCAGCUUUAGCGGCUACAACACCUGGUCUGAUGUGUAACAAAUCAUUGCCAUUUCAAAAAUUCAGGUUAUCUGAGGAAGACAAUUUGUAAGUAGGCCUGUAAAUGAACCGAACAAACACGAAUAGAGGCAUGUUCGUGUUUGUUUAUUUUUUUGUAAUUGCUUAUUGAUCCAAGGUAGAUCAACUGAAAACGUCCAUAAAAAUAAGCACAAAAAGUUUACUCAAAAGGUAAUUAUAUUUGACAUGACUCAUUUUCGAAAUAAACUAUGUCAAAACGUAAACCAACUUAAAUUUAUACCGAA